GACGAACGCUGGCGGCGUGCUUAACACAUGCAAGUCGAACGGAAAGGCCCUGCUUUUGUGGGGUGCUCGAGUGGCGAACGGGUGAGUAACACGUGAGUAACCUGCCCUUGACUUUGGGAUAACUUCAGGAAACUGGGGCUAAUACCGGAUAGGAGCUCCCGCUGCAUGGUGGGGGUUGGAAAGUUUCGGCGGUUGGGGAUGGAAUCGCGGCUUAUCAGGUUGUUGGUGGGGUAGUGGCUUACCAAGGCUUUGACGGGUAGCCGGCCUGAGAGGGUGACCGGCCACAUUGGGACGGAGAUACGGCCCAGACUCCUACGGGAGGGAGCGGUGGGGAAUAGUGCACAAUGGGCUGAAGCCUGAUGCAGCAACGCCGCGUGCGGGAUGACAGCCUUCGGUUUGUAAUCCGCUUUCGCCUGUGACGAAGCGUGAGUGACGGUAAUGGGUAAAGAAGCACCGGCUAACUACGUG
rnacentral:rRNA from 1 species